UCGAAGAAGUUACAGUCGUCGUCGCUGCUGCAGUUCUGGUCCAGGAUGUCCCUCAUCUUCGGCUCAAAGAACGCCAUGUCCACGUCGAUCGCGACUACCUGCAGGAGACACCAGAGACAAAACUCAACUGUGUUUAGUGGCUGCUGCUGAAGUGAAGUGAAGUGAGUUUGGUUUACUGGAACUUUAAGCCGAUCUGCUGGCAGCGCUGCUCCGCCCAAACGCUCGUGAUGCAUUUAAACUCAGCUUUGAUUUGUGACUGCAGGAAGACACAGAAGGAAGGACGUCCAGUCUUCUUUGGCUUUAUUUUUAGAGCUAAAAUAAGCAAACUUCCACUUUUCAUUUUAAUAUUACAGAUGAAUAAUAAAGGAUGAAUAUAUCAGUUUGAGAAGUUUGAUUACAAAGCGAUUAAAAGUGACUAUGAGAUGAUGAUGACCUCAAAGAAAACUUAGCUUUAUUUUCGCUGUAACUGUAUUUUUUCCCAUGAGAUCAUUCUUUAUAAAGAACACUGCAUUGGAGUCUGCUUUCAAAAGAUGGACGUUGGCGAUGCUGGACGUCAAGUUUCCUCCAAGAACAGCAAACAUGGAGAAAACUCUGCAAGUAGCUCUCUCAAAAAUAACAAAGUAUCUUGUUUAAGAUGAACAAUAACUAAUAAUAAUCAGAGACUUUACUCAAACCAGAGGGCAGUGAGGGUCAGUGCCAGAACAUAUUGUACAUAUCCAUCUUUUUAUAGAAAUGACACAUUUACAGAGUUAUGUUGGAAAUGUUUCCAAAAUGAAAUUUUCUAUUUUUAUAGUUUCAGUUUUCAGGAAACACUCUGAACAUCAGAAAGUAUCAGGCCUUUAUCAAGGAAACUGAAUGUGCUCUUUAAGUAGGGUUAGUGCAUUAAUAAUGCAGAGAUUUAUGACCUUUUUGAACUUAACGGAGGAUUUUACAGUACUUAGAUUAUUUCAAAAGAUUUGUGAGUUUGUGUGUGUGUGUGUGUCGUCCCUCUGGUCUUGUGUUUCAGUGUGGACGAGGAAACAGAGCUUUUCUAAGAUGAUGUCAUCAGCCUGCUCAGACACGCUAUGAAUGACCUUCUCUUCUCCAGCAGCAGGGUCACAUCUUCUGCUUUAGACUGAAAUAAACCUCAUAAUCCACCAUCCGCUCUCUAAAUUUCCAUCUCUACUCUCUCUAAUAGCUUUUUUUUUUAAAAAACAUCCCUUUUAUCUCUUUUCUUCCGGCUUUCUGCUUUGCUUUUAUUCUGUUUAUGUUCAUUACAUUCCCAGAAAACAUUAAGGCCAUUCAGACUUGCUUGGUGGUCACCAAACUGCCUUCAAAGUGAAUCAAAACGUAGAGGAAA